rnacentral:lncRNA from 1 species
GGAUAUGGAAAUAAUUACUUAAAGCAUCAAGCCCCAGGAACCUCCCCCCCUCCCCAAUUCCUAAAUCAAAAGUGGGGAAGAAAUACCAGCCAUUCUUUUGUACAAUAUUCUAUUCAUUUAUCAACUAGUUAUACAUAGUACCAGGCAACAUUUAAUACAUACUGUUAUGUCCAGAAGAACAAUUGGGGCACAGCUGUUUUUUUUCACGUUUUGCCUGUGUGAAUCAUCCGUUAGAGUUCAGCCAUGAUAAAUGGUCAUCGUGCUGGGUGGGGAUAGAGAGCUUGUGAGACUUGAUCUUAAUGAUAGCUAGGCAGGGAAAAAGAAACCUUAGGAACUGAUACCACUUACCUCUCCCCCACAACAAAAAAACUUUACAAAUCACCAGUGAAACAUUGAGAGCAUGCCUUAAUGUGGGGCAACAGCAUCAACACUAUCACUUUGUGGGGAUCUUGGUUUUGGUGAUGACUUUUUUUUCAUUCUUCUUUUGCAAAGUUUUUUUUUAAUAAGAUGCUAAAAACAUGGAUGAAUUUGGAACAACACAUUUUACUUUUCAAGCAAAGCAUCUGGACUGACAUCAAGUGAGAAAUUGCAAAAGGGUUGUGGGGAAUUGAAUAGCAUUUUGCUUUACGACUUGAAACCAGAGGAGUUUUAAAAAUAUCUCGGCCACACAAAACGGACAGUCUGACUUUCAGCCUAUUCCUACUUGCAUGGCUUCAGCAGGAGGGAUGCAGAAUGGCUUUCCCAGAAUAGUCUCUGCACUGACAGUUAGUGCAUGCUCCCUGAAGGACAGGAGAAACUGCACCUGGGUCUCCUUCCCCAAGCAAGUACUUUAAUCACUAGUACAUUACCUUUUGUGGUGUGAAGAGUCCAUAAGUAAUCCUGUGAUCACCUGAUCUGGAGUAAAGGCAGCUAAGAAGGAUAAAAAGGAGUCAGCUGUCUUCUAAAAGCAUUUACCUGGACACAGGCAUUGACAAGUGUGGGACAGAACAAAGCAGGUUUACUGAAGGUAAUAGGAGGCUAGUUUAAAGUUUUAGUUAUCUCACAAAUAAAGUUGAGGGUAUUGGCUUUUAGAGAAGA